CACAGCCAAAGCCUCAACUUAAUAAAGUCCGUCUUCAUCGAGACACGAGGGAUUCAGGUGCACGAACGCGCGGUUUCGGAAUGAGAGUACUGGGAGGAAAAGCUGCUGACGAUGGAAGUUUGUAUACUGUUGUAGCAUGGGCACGAGCUGGAGGGCCAGCCGAGCAGAAAGGAAUUCAUCAGGGUGACAAGAUCGUGGAAUGGGGAGGAGUUUCAUUGAGUAACAAGACGUUUGAGGAAGUGUCAGCAGUCAUAGAGAGAACUGGUGAUACAGUAGAGGUGGUGGUGGAACAGGAUAAU